UACGUAGGGGGCAAGCGUUGUCCGGAAUUAUUGGGCGUAAAGCGCGUGUAGGCGGUCCACUAAGUCAGGGGUGAAAUCCUGGAGCUCAACUCCAGAACUGCCUUUGAUACUGGGAAUCUCGAGUCCGGGAGAGGUGAGUGGAACUGCGAGUGUAGAGGUGAAAUUCGUAGAUAUUAGCUAGAACACCAGUGGCGAAGGCGGCCAACUGGUCCGGUACUGACGCUGAGGUGCGAAAGCGUGGGGAGCAAACAGG
rnacentral:rRNA from 1 species